GUCUGCCUUGGAGCAGAAAAUGGAUGACAAACAAUGGAAACAACUGAACAGGAAUGUGUGUGUGAAGAUGAGCAGAGUAGACCUUUCUGCCAAGUGCAAGGACACCAUAGGAUUGGUGAAGGAGUCUACGGCCCCUGUUGUCAUUUCAGCGAUUGACCUCGACAUGGAGCUCUCAGAUUCAUCAAGCACU